rnacentral:rRNA from 1 species
AUGGUACAGAUACUAUCUCUCAUCCACAGCAAAAAGGGGAAACUGAGUAGCAUGCCGUACAUACCAGCUGACGUCACAAACCUAUAGGCCAAGUACCGUAGAGAGAGCAAGUUGGCAGACAUAGAGGCCACAAUUGCCUACUUCGAUGAGAAAGCGAAGGAAGAUCCAGAUUUCUUCUACAGGAUAAGGUUGGACGAUGAGGACUGUGUCAGGAACAUGUAUUGGGUGGAUGGUGCUGCAAGGAGAGCCUACAAACAUUUUCGAGAUUGCAUUUCAUUCGACGCGACGUACCUCACCAAUAUGUACAAGAUGCCAUGCGCUCCGUUCAUAGGAAUAAAUAACCAUAAUCAGUCGUUGUAG